rnacentral:rRNA from 1 species
AUUGAACGCUGGCGGCAGGCCUAACACAUGCAAGUCGAGCGGAUGAAGGGAGCUUGCUCCUGGAUUCAGCGGCGGACGGGUGAGUAAUGCCUAGGAAUCUGCCUGGUAGUGGGGGACAACGUUUCGAAAGGAACGCUAAUACCGCAUACGUCCUACGGGAGAAAGCAGGGGACCUUCGGGCCUUGCGCUAUCAGAUGAGCCUAGGUCGGAUUAGUUAGUUGGUGAGGUAAUGGCUCACCAAGGCGACGAUCCGUAACUGGUCUGAGAGGAUGAUCAGUCACACUGGAACUGAGGCACGGUCCAGACUCCUACGGGAGGCAGCAGUGGGGAAUAUUGGACAAUGGGCGAAAGCCUGAUCCAGCCAUGCCGCGUGUGUGAAGAAGGUCUUCGGAUUGUAAAGCACUUUAAGUUGGGAGGAAGGGUUGUAGAUUAAUACUCUGCAAUUUUGACGUUACCGACAGAAUAAGCACCGGCUAACUCUGUGCCAACCGCCGCCGUAAGAC